AGCAGCCGCGGUAAUUCCAGCUCCAAUAGCGUAUAUUAAAGUUGUUGCAGUUAAAAAGCUCGUAGUUGAAUUUCGGAAUCAAUAUGUUGGUCGUGCCUUGGUACGUACUAAUUUAUUGGUUUCUUCCUUCUGACGAACCAUGAUGUCAUUAAUUUGGUGUCUUGGGGAAUCAGGACUGUUACUUUGAAAAAAUUAGAGUGUUUAAAGCAGGCUCACGCUUGAAUACAUUAGCAUGGAAUAAUGAAAUAGGACAUUUGAUUCUAUUUUGUUGGUUUCUAGGAUCGACGUAAUGAUUAAUAGGGAUAGUUGGGGGCAUUAGUAUUCAAUUGUCAGAGGUGAAAUUCUUGGAUUUAUUGAAGACUAACUACUGCGAAAGCAUUUGCCAAGGAUGUUUUCAUUAAUCAAGAACGAAAGUUAGGGGAUCGAAGACGAUCAGAUACCGUCGUAGCU
rnacentral:rRNA from 1 species